CGGGGAGGACACCAGCAGCAGUCCCCAGAAGAGGGAUCAUCUUGGCUGGGUGGGUUCUUCACCCUCGCCCACCUUGGACGCAGGCAUGAGGACUGAAGAGUUGUUCUUCAGGAAAGUAAGUCUAGGACCAAGAAGAGACACCAAAAGAGUGUAAUUUCCAACCAACCAUCAAAACACGGUGUGGACUUGUAUUUGUUGUCAGUCUAAUAAAUGCUUGUUUUAAAU